GAUGAACGCUAGCGGGAGGCUUAGCACAUGCAAGUCGUGGGGCAGCACGGGGUAGCAAUACUCUGGUGGCGACCGGCGCACGGGUGAGUAACGCGUAUGCAACCUACCCAGUACAGGGGAAUAGCCCGGAGAAAUUCGGAUUAAUACCCCAUAAUGAUAUAGAGAGGCAUCUUUUUAUAUUUAAAGCUUCGGCGGUACUGGAUGGGCAUGCGUAAGAUUAGCUAGUUGGUAGGGUAACGGCCUACCAAGGCUCCGAUCUUUAGGGGUCUUGAGGGGGUGAUCCCCCACACUGGUACUGAGACACGGACCAGACUCCUACGGGAGGCAGCAGUGAGGAAUAUUGGUCAAUGGGCGCAAGCCUGAACCAGCCAUCCCGCGUGAAGGAAGAAGGCGCUAUGCGUUGUAAACUUCUUUUCCGGAGGAAUAAAAUCUUGUACGUGUACAGGACUGAAGGUACUCCGGGAAUAAGCAUCGGCUAACUCCGUGCCAGCCGCCGCGGUAAUAC
rnacentral:rRNA from 1 species